AGUGAUCAGAUGUACAGUAUAAACAUUGAGUGAUCAGAUGUACAGUAUAAACAGGUAGUUAGUGAUCAGAUGUACAGUAUAAACAGGUAGUUAGUGAUCAGAUGUACAGUAUAAACAGGUAGUUAGUGAUCAGAUGUACAGUAUAAACAGGUAGUUAGUGAUCAGAUGUACAGUAUAAACAGUUAACAUUGUCUGGACUGAAGGGAAUCGCUGCAGUUUUUAAAUGAGAGCCCCAGCGCUGCACUCUACGGUGCUCUUUCAUUUAACCCGUGGUCUUAUAUCGUAUAUUUUGCUAAUUUUGCAUAAUAUUUGGUUAUAUGAAGACUCUUUAUUGUGAUAUAUAACCUUGAACUGAUCAGGAUGUUCCUUCGGACACCUUAAUUACCGCUGCA
ensembl:lncRNA